rnacentral:misc_RNA from 1 species
AAGUCGUAACAAGGUUUCCGUAGGUGAACCUGCGGAAGGAUCAUUAUUGAAUAUUCUUGAUGGGUUGUAGCUGGCUCUUCGGGGCAUGUGCACACUUGUCUUGACUUUAUUCAUCCACCUGUGCACUUUUUGUAGUCUUGGGGGUUGAGAUCAGUCGACUAUCGGAUGGCUUAUAGCCUUUCCGGACGUGAGGAAUGCUGAGUGCAAAAGCAUACAGCUCUUCUCAAAUGACUUAUAAACCUCUCCCUCGAGUACUAUGUAUUCAUAUACCACAUAGUAUGUUGUAGAAUGUGAUCAAUGGGCCUAGUGCCUAUAAUAAUCAUAUACAACUUUCAGCAACGGAUCUCUUGGCUCUC